UUUUCGCAAUGCCCGAAAGGGUGACGAAGCGACGCCGCGUGGGUGAGGAAGGCCCUCGGGUUGUAAAGCCCUGUCAGGAGUUAAGAAAUGUAGAUACGCUAAUAUCGUAUCUAUUUGACAAAGGCUCCAAAGGAAGCCACGGCUAACUCUGUGCCAGUAGCCGCGGUAAUACAGAGGUGGCAAGCGUUGUUCGGAAUUAUUGGGCGUAAAGAGCACGUAGGUGGAUUUGUAAGUCAGAUGUGAAAGCCUUCUGUUCAACGGAAGAAUUGCAUCUGAAACUACAAACCUUGAGUAUAGGAGGGGAGAAUGGAACUUCUGGUGGAGCGGUGAAAUGCGUAGAUAUCAGAAGGAACGCCGGCGGCGAAAGCGAUUCUCUGGCCUAUUACUGACACUCAGUGUGCGAAAGCUAGGGGAGCAAACGGGAUUAGAUACCCCGGUAGUCCUAGCCGUAAACGAUGGGCACUAAGUAGAGGGGUUUUAA
rnacentral:rRNA from 1 species